rnacentral:rRNA from 1 species
AAGGGCACCACAAGAACGCGUGGAGCAUGUGGCUUAAUUUGACUCAACACGAGAAAUCUUACCGGGUCCGGACACACUGAGGAUUGACAGGUAUUAUCAAUAAUUAUUUUUGCAUUUUUAUGUUAAAAAUUCAAUCAUUGUGUUAAAUAUGCUAGUCCUUUCAUGAUUAUGUGAUAGGUGGUGCAUGGCCGUUCUUAGUUCGUGGAGUGAUCUGUCUGCUUAAUUGCGUUUCACUAAGGGCUUAAAAUUAUGUGCUUUAAUAUUGACCCCUCAAUUUUUAAUUGAGUGUGUUGUCUUUAUUGGUACUUCUAAGCUCUGAAAGCAACGAACGUGACCGCAACCCUUUGUUGCCUUUACUAAAAUUUUAUUUUUUUAUAAAAUAUAAUUAAAAAGGCUUUUUAAACUAGGGGGACCGCUGUAAUCUUUUUAAACCAGAGGAAGGUUGCGGCAAUAACAGGUCUGUGAUGCCCUUAGAUGUUCCGGGCUGCACACGUGCUACAAUGAUUUUUGCAGUGAGCAUCUCAUUUUUAAUACAUCGCUUGCAUGAUGCUUUAUAUUUAAAUUUAUUUUUAUUUAUUUCGUUCAUUUUUGCGCGAUAAAGCCUGCUUCGAAAGUAAGUGGGUAAUCAAUUAGAAGUAAAGAUUUCCAAAUUUUAUAGCACAAAUAUAUACGGCAUUUUUACCCGGCUUCUUCAUUUCGAAUUAGUUUUGUGUGUAUUAAUGAGUUUCUUUGUAUAGUUUGUCUUUUAUGUCAUUCUUAUACAGUACUUUAUCGUAUGUGCAAUUGUCAAUUCAUGGUGGGGACAGACCAUUGUUAAUUGUUGGUCUCGGUUUCAACUAGGAAUGCCUUGUACGGAUCUUUGGUUCAACAAACCAUCCGGAAUACGUCCCUGCCCUUUGUACACACCGCCCGUCGCUCUUACCGAUAGACUUCUCUGUGAGUUUGAGGGACUGGAUAACUUAUACUUCUAUGGAAACUUAAACGAACAGUGUGGUCCAAAGGAAAGAGAAGUCGAACAAGGCA